UAGGCGACCUAGGUCACAUGCGGCCGGAGGGACUUGCCCUUGGCCCGACAUUGCAGCGGGCGAGUUAGUCCCAUGCCUGGCAAACGAUGCCUUCUAGUGCACACAUUGAUCGGGAAGGAGCGGGUUGAUCGGGAAGGAGUGAAAGGGGGCUGGGCGGAAUGGUUUUAAUGCAUUCACCUCGUUUAAUGGGGAACAAUUUGUGACACAUAUUGUUCGACUUGCAAAUUGAUUACUGGAAAGUACCUAAUAGUCUAAAACCGAAUGAAAAGAAGGAGCAAGGCGUGGAAACUGUCCCUUAAUGUCAUCAUAUAUAAGAUUAUAGCAUUAAAUAAGGACCGUCUUAACAUUUAGGCCUCGUUUGGUAGGAGACGAUCGAGGGGUUUUUGAAGGCAAUUUCCUCGCGUGGCCCAGAAACCCCACAGAACCGCGAGGGCCCAUUUGGUACGCGGAUAUUCGACGGCCCAACCCCCUCCGACCCCCUCCUACACCCUCCUUUCCACGCGGUACAGAACCCUCGAGGGGGGCCUCGCGGAUUUGGGAGGAACGACACCACGCCGCCGCCGCCUGCUCACCGCGCCACCGCUCGAUUCCUCCACAACACGCCGUCGAACGACAUCUCUAUGCCGGCGUACCUCCUCCGCCAUACUGGCCUUCUCCUCGGUGGUUGAGAAGUGGAACAAAGCAGAGGAAGAAUGGGACGUUUGCAGGGUCCCUCGAAAUCGUCUCUAUUUGAGAGUCUCGUCAGUUGCUUUUGUGUCGACGCUAUUGUUGUCAGCAUGCUUAAAUGUACGCAUGUCUUAUGUAUUCUCAGCAUGCUUAAAUGUACGCAUGUCUUUCCUCGGACUUGUGAAUGCCAAAAACGUACGAGAUAUUUUUGGUUCCAAGUCAUGCUGAUGUGAGCGAUUAUGUUGCUGUUAUGUGACAUUGCAAUUAUGUGAUGAUAUAUUGGUUCCAAGUCAAGCAAAUUAUGUUGUUCAUGUGAA